GAUGAACGCUGGCUGCGUGCCUAAUACAUGCAAGUCGAGCGAACGGACGAGAAGCUUGCUUCUCUGAUGUUAGCGGCGGACGGGUGAGUAACACGUGGAUAACCUACCUAUAAGACUGGGAUAACUUCGGGAAACCGGAGCUAAUACCGGAUAAUAUUUUGAACCGCAUGGUUCAAAAGUGAAAGACGGUCUUGCUGUCACUUAUAGAUGGAUCCGCGCUGCAUUAGCUAGUUGGUAAGGUAACGGCUUACCAAGGCAACGAUGCAUAGCCGACCUGAGAGGGUGAUCGGCCACACUGGAACUGAGACACGGUCCAGACUCCUACGGGAGGCAGCAGUAGGGAAUCUUCCGCAAUGGGCGAAAGCCUGACGGAGCAACGCCGCGUGAGUGAUGAAGGUCUUCGGGUCGUAAAACUCUGUUAUUAGGGAAGAACAUAUGUGUAAGUAACUGUGCACAUCUUGACGGUACCUAAUCAGAAAGCCACGGCUAACUACGUGCCAGCAGCCGCGGUAAUACGUAGGUGGCAAGCGUUAUCCGGAAUUAUUGGGCGUAAAGCGCGCGUAGGCGGUUUUUUAAGUCUGAUGUGAAAGCCCACGGCUCAACCGUGGAGGGUCAUUGGAAACUGGAAAACUUGAGUGCAGAAGAGGAAAGUGGAAUUCCAUGUGUAGCGGUGAAAUGCGCAGAGAUAUGGAGGAACACCAGUGGCGAAGGCGACUUUCUGGUCUGUAACUGACGCUGAUGUGCGAAAGCGUGGGGAUCAAACAGGAUUAGAUACCCUGGUAGUCCACGCCGUAAACGAUGAGUGCUAAGUGUUAGGGGGUUUCCGCCCCUUAGUGCUGCAGCUAACGCAUUAAGCACUCCGCCUGGGGAGUACGACCGCAAGGUUGAAACUCAAAGGAAUUGACGGGGACCCGCACAAGCGGUGGAGCAUGUGGUUUAAUUCGAAGCAACGCGAAGAACCUUACCAAAUCUUGACAUCCUUUGACAACUCUAGAGAUAGAGCCUUCCCCUUCGGGGGACAAAGUGACAGGUGGUGCAUGGUUGUCGUCAGCUCGUGUCGUGAGAUGUUGGGUUAAGUCCCGCAACGAGCGCAACCCUUAAGCUUAGUUGCCAUCAUUAAGUUGGGCACUCUAAGUUGACUGCCGGUGACAAACCGGAGGAAGGUGGGGAUGACGUCAAAUCAUCAUGCCCCUUAUGAUUUGGGCUACACACGUGCUACAAUGGACAAUACAAAGGGCAGCGAAACCGCGAGGUCAAGCAAAUCCCAUAAAGUUGUUCUCAGUUCGGAUUGUAGUCUGCAACUCGACUACAUGAAGCUGGAAUCGCUAGUAAUCGUAGAUCAGCAUGCUACGGUGAAUACGUUCCCGGGUCU
rnacentral:rRNA from 1 species